rnacentral:rRNA from 1 species
AACGAACGCUGGCGGCAUGCCUAACACAUGCAAGUCGAACGAGACCUUCGGGUCUAGUGGCGCACGGGUGCGUAACGCGUGGGAACCUGCCCUUAGGUUCGGAAUAACUCCCCGAAAGGGGUGCUAAUACCGGAUAAUGUCUUCGGACCAAAGAUUUAUCGCCUUUGGAUGGGCCCGCGUUGGAUUAGCUAGUUGGUAGGGUAAAAUCCUACCAAGGCGACGAUCCAUAGCUGGUCUGAGAGGAUGAUCAGCCACACUGGGACUGAGACACGGCCCAGACUCCUACGGGAGGCAGCAGUGGGGAAUAUUGGACAAUGGGCGAAAGCCUGAUCCAGCAAUGCCGCGUGAGUGAUGAAGGCCUUAGGGUUGUAAAGCUCUUUUACCCGGGAUGAUAAUGACAGUACCGGGAGAAUAAGCACCGGCUAACUCCGUG